CCCUGAAGACUUUUUAUAGGCUGGUCACACCCUGUGCAGGAGUCAGUCCCAGUCAGGACACAGCAUGGACAUGAGGGUCCCCGCUCAGCUCCUGGGGCUCCUGCUGCUCUGGCUCCCAGGUGCCAGGUGUGACAUCCAGAUGACCCAGUCUCCAUCCUCCCUGUCUGCAUCUGUAGGAGACAGAGUCACCAUUACGUGCAGAGCCAGUCAGGGUAUUAGCAACUGGUUAGCCUGGUAUCAGCAAAAACCAGGGAAAGCCCCUAAGCUCCUGAUCUAUGCUGCAUCCAAUCUGCAAAGUGGGAUUCCCUCUCGGUUCAGUGGCAGUGGAUCUGGGACAACUUACACUCUCACCAUCAGCAGCCUGCAGCCUGAAGAUUUUGCAACUUAUUACUGUCAACAGAGUUCCAGUUACAAUACUUUGCCGGGCCGGGGCACCAUACUCCAGAAGACCAUGUGUGCUCUGAAUCAGCGCCCAAUGUAUGGUAUUGUUUCUCCCAUAGCCAGGAUUCACAGAUCCAGGAUUCAAGGGGUGUAUGUGAAAGUGGAACCACUUACUAUGAUGCACUAGCAAAAUAUUUGCUUU